rnacentral:rRNA from 1 species
UACGUAGGGGGGCAAGCGUUGUUCGGAAUUAUUGGGCGUAAAGGGCGCGUAGGCGGUGCCGCAAGUCACUUGUGAAAUCCCCGGGCUUAACUCGGGGCCUGCAGGCGAAACUGUGGUGCUGGAGUAUGGGAGAGGUGCGUGGAAUUCCCGGGUGUAGCGGUGAAAUGCGUAGAUAUCGGGAGGAACACCUGUGGCGAAAGCGGCGCACUGGACCAUAACUGACGCUGAGACGCGAAAGCGUGGGGAGCAAACAGG